UACGUAGGUGGCGAGCGUUGUCCGGAUUUAUUGGGCGUAAAGCGCGCGCAGGCGGUCCGUUACGUCCGUUGUGAAAGCUCCCGGCUCAACUGGGAGAGGUCUUCGGAUACGGGCGGACUCGAGGAAGGUAGAGGAAGGUGGAAUUCCCGGUGUAGUGGUGAAAUGCGUAGAGAUCGGGAGGAACACCAGUGGCGAAGGCGGCCUUCUGGGCCUUGCCUGACGCUGAGGCGCGAAAGCGUGGGGAGCGAACCGG
rnacentral:rRNA from 1 species